CACGUAGGGCGCAAGCGUUGUCCGGAAUUGAUUGGCGUAAAGAGCUACGUAGGCGGUCGUGUUGCGUCCGCUGUGAAAACUCGGGCUUACCCUGAGCUGCAUCGGGUACGGGCAGACUAAGAGUGCGGUAGGGGAGGACUGGAAUUCCUGGUGUAGCGGUGAAAUGCGCGAUAUAGAGGAACACCGGUGCGAAGGCGGGAUCUCUGGGCCGUAACUGACGCUGUAGAGCGAAAGCGUGGGGAGCGAACAG
rnacentral:rRNA from 1 species